CUUUGUUCUUGAGAAAUCUACAGGAUUUCCCACAUCAGAACAAAGGCAGUGAAACAGGACUGGGUGUGAGCUUGGAGGACAUGCACACACCUGCUCUCUCUAGGAGAGAAAGAUGGAGUGGAGUCUGCAUCAGGAUAUUGUACAUCUAACCAGCAUAUCAUCUUUGAAAAAGGGACAAGUUGUCAGCAAAAACAUAAAGCUUUUUCAGGAAGACCUUUGA
rnacentral:lncRNA from 1 species